rnacentral:rRNA from 1 species
UACGAAGGGGGCUAGCGUUGUUCGGAUUUACUGGGCGUAAAGCGCGCGUAGGCGGCUUUGUAAGUUAGAGGUGAAAGCCCGGAGCUUAACUCCGGAAUUGCCUUUAAGACUGCAUCGCUAGAAUUGUGGAGAGGUAAGUGGAAUUCCGAGUGUAGAGGUGAAAUUCGUAGAUAUUCGGAAGAACACCAGUGGCGAAGGCGACUUACUGGACACAUAUUGACGCUGAGGUGCGAAAGCGUGGGGAGCAAACAGG